rnacentral:piRNA from 1 species
UAUACUCUGCUUCAGUUGAUGAUAAUGC